AGAGUUUGAUCCUGGCUCAGGACGAACGCUGGCGGCAUGCCUAAUACAUGCAAGUCGAACGCUGAAGCACUCUGCUUGCAGAGUGCGGAUGAGUGGCGAACGGGUGAGUAACACGUGGGAAAUCUGCCUAGGAGUGGGGGAUAACAUUCGGAAACGGAUGCUAAUACCGCAUAUCUUUUUGAACCGCAUGGUUCUUAAACGAAAGACGGCUCCGGCUGUCGCUCUUAGAUGAUCCCGCGGCGUAUUAGUUAGUUGGUGGGGUAAAGGCCUACCAAGACCAUGAUACGUAGCCGACCUGAGAGGGUGAUCGGCCACACUGGGACUGAGACACGGCCCAGACUCCUACGGGAGGCAGCAGUAGGGAAUCUUCCACAAUGGGUGAAAACCUGAUGGAGCAAUGCCGCGUGAAUGAAGAAGGUCUUCGGAUCGUAAAGUUCUGUUAUUAGAGAAGAACAAGUCAAGGAGUAACUGUCUUGAUUUUGACGGUACCUAACCAGAAAGUCACGGCUAACUACGUGCCAGCAGCCGCGGUAAUACGUAGGUGACGAGCGUUGUCCGGAAUUAUUGGGCGUAAAGGGAGCGCAGGCGGUUGGAAUAGUCUGAUGUGAAAGCCCACGGCUUAACCGUGGAAGGUCAUUGGAAACUGUCCAACUUGAAUACAGAAGAGGUAAGUGGAAUUCCAAGUGUAGCGGUGAAAUGCGUAAAUAUUUGGAAGAACCCCGGUGGCGAGGGCCACUUACUGGGUCUGUAAUUGACCCUGAAGGCUCAAAGGCGUGGGGAACGAACAAAAAUAAAAUACCCUGGUAAUCCCCCCCCCAAAAAAAAAGGAAGGGCUAAAGGGG
rnacentral:rRNA from 1 species